AGAAGUUGGAAGUGGGCAGUCACCUCAUAGCCAUCGACAAGGGAGAAGGAAAUGAACGGCUGCCAUAUGCUUGCUCUCUUUCUCUCCUCUUACACCAUGAAGGACCCACUGAAUGAUGCUGCUGGUGGCUGAAUCUUCCCACACCAGUCAACUUAAGACUUUCCCCCCAUAGGCAUGCCUACAGACCAACCCAAUGUGGACAAUUCCUCACUGAGAUGUUCUUCCCAGAUGACCAUAGACUGUGACAAGGCAUUAAAGCUGGCCACCACGCUUGCUGUGUGACUCUAGGGAAUUUCGAGGCAGGAACUCAAGACAGGAACCUGGAGGCAGGCACUGAUGAAGAAGACGCUGUGGAGAGUGCUCAUUACUGGCUUGCUUGCUCUGGCUGUCUUUCUUACAUACCCCAUGGCCACCUGCUCCAGCACGGCACCGCCCACAGUGGUCCGGCCACGCCCACAUCAGUCUUUAGGUGUCUAUUGCUGUGAAGAGUCACCAUGAC